GGAAUUAUUACUGUGAAGCCCAGAACAGAAGAGGACGUCAUAACUCCACCUUACAUCUGAUUGUUGUUGCAGGUUCAUUGAAAUUUCCAGUUGCUCUAUCAGUCAGUGCUGUUGUUCUGGUCUUCAUUCUUCUUCUCUCUGUCGUCCUGUGGAUUAGAAGAGAGAGGUCUUUGCAACAACAACCUGAGGCUGGUGAGAGACCACACAACAGAGCAGAGGAGACAGAUGAACUUCAGUAUGCAAGCGUACAGUGCGUUAGGAACCAGCCAGAGGCUCUCUACUCCAACUUCAGCCCAGCUCAGCCCCUCAGAAACGAGGAGGAGGUUGUUUACGCGACCCCCAUCUUCAACAGUGCCGCAGGAACAAGGCGUCAAGCAGCUGUGGAGGAUGUAUCUGCCCUGUACAGCAGAGUUAAUAGAAGCCACUGAGUGUGAUGACAACAUGGAUCUGUGGACAGCGUUUCCUUCCUGAGCUGCCGUGACAGAGGGGACAGGGACAGAAGAGGGAAUAUCCUAAUGAAGAAGACUGUAAUAGACUUCUAACUUUGUUUGUCUAAACCAGAC